rnacentral:rRNA from 1 species
GACAGAGGUGCCAAGCGUUAGGCGGAAUCACUGGGCUUAAAGCGUGUGUAGGCGGAUGCCUAAGUACCUUGUGAAAUCCCACGGCUCAACCGUGGAACUGCUGGGUAUACUGGGUGUCUUGGGUCAGCUAGGGGUUGCCGGAACAAAUGGUGGAGCGGUGAAAUGCGUAGAUAUCAGGAAGAACACCCGUGGCUAAGGCGGUUCUCUAGUACGGUACUGACGCUGAGACGCGAAAGCGUGGGGAGCGAACAGG